rnacentral:rRNA from 1 species
AACGUAGGACACAAGCGUUAUCCGGAGUUACUGGGCGUAAAGGGCGUGUAGGCGGAUCGGUAAGUCUACUCUGAAAGCCCCGAGCUUAACUUGGGAAUUGCGCUUGUGACUGGCGUGCUGGAGUGUGGCAGAGGGAGGUGGAAUUCCACGUGUAGCAGUGAAAUGCGUAGAGAUGUGGAGGAACACCGAUGGCGAAGGCAGCCUCCUGGGCCGGCACUGACGCUCAUGCACGAAAGCGUGGGGAGCAAACAGG